rnacentral:rRNA from 1 species
UACGAAGGGGGCUAGCGUUGUUCGGAAUUACUGGGCGUAAAUCGCGCGCAGGCGGCUAUCCAAGUCAGUGGUGAAAGCCCGGAGCUCAACUCCGGAACUGCCAUUGAAACUGUUUAGCUUGAGGAUGAGAGAGGUGAGUGGAAUUCCCAGUGUAGAGGUGAAAUUCGUAGAUAUUGGGAAGAACACCGGUGGCGAAGGCGGCUCACUGGCUCAUUACUGACGCUCAGGCGCGAUAGCGUGGGGAGCAAACAGG